rnacentral:rRNA from 1 species
UACGUAGGGUGCGAGCGUUGUCCGGAAUUAUUGGGCGUAAAGAGCUCGUAGGCGGUCUGUCGCGUCGGUCGUGAAAACUUGGGGCUUAACCCUGAGCUUGCGGUCGAUACGGGCAUGACUGGAGUUCGGUAGGGGAGACUGGAAUUCCUGGUGUAGCGGUGAAAUGCGCAGAGAUCGGGAGGAACACCAAUGGCGAAAGCAGGUACCUGGACUAUUACUGACACUCAGCUGCGAAAGCUAGGGGAGCAAACAGG